CUCCUCUUGGGGGGGACCCACAGGGAGCGGCGCCCCCUCCCCCCUCCGGCGCGGACCCCGCGUGCGCCUUGCUCGCCCGCAGCCCCGAGACCGCAGGCGUCACAAUGUAGCAGGGACCCCAGGCGUCGUGCUCAGAAAAUGGAAAAAGAGCCAGGGCCGGAAGGAGGGUGCAGAAGCGAGUCCCCGUGCGGAGCCAGGAGGCAGCGUCGCGUGGGAGUGCUGGCCUGAAGCCUCCAUGCCCCGGCAGAGGGACGGACACGCGGACGUCUAGCGGAGAAGCCAAAGAUGUUGACCAGGAAGAUCAAGCUGUGGGACAUCAACGCCCACAUCACCUGCCGCCUGUGCAGCGGGUACCUCAUCGACGCCACCACGGUGACCGAGUGUCUGCACACCUUCUGCAGGAGCUGCCUGGUGAAGUACCUGGAGGAGAACAACACCUGCCCCACCUGCAGGAUCGUGAUCCACCAGAGCCACCCCCUGCAGUACAUCGGUCAUGACAGAACCAUGCAAGAUAUUGUUUACAAAUUGGUACCAGGCCUCCAAGAAGGUGAGUGUCCGACUGUCUU
rnacentral:sRNA from 1 species